rnacentral:hammerhead_ribozyme from 1 species
AUAGAGCUGACGGGUCCCAAAUAGGACGAAACGCGCGUUGUCGAU